GCUGAGUACUAACACUGGAUUUUUUUUGCGCACACACAGAACGGACAGCUGGCAGACGGACAGGAAGCAUCCAGUAGGUUUAUAGAGUGGGUUGCCUGCUUCUGCUGGAAACUACGCUGAUGAGACUGGUAGGAGCCAAGCAAAACAGGAAGUUGUGGACUUUAAAACCAAAACAAGAGCCAGACGGCUGUCUCCGCCACACAGAUACGACUGCAGCCAUUCUGUAAAAGGCACCCCAACAACUGCAGCUGAUUCCUCCCAGAAGGUGUAAUUUUCUCAUUUAGCUCACAAGCGUUCGGCCCGACACCAAUUAGCACGGGGCCCUGACCUCAGAUGUCUGUACCAGGAGACAUGGUGGUGAAUGAUGCACCACGUGGCACACCUCAAUCAGCCGCUUACACUCUCUUUUCUAUUUUGCAGCCAUCAAAUCAUUGCCAUAUACAUAAUUCAUACACCUCAGAUU